UGCCUACGGGGGGCAGCAGUGGGGAAUAUUGCACAAUGGGGGAAACCCUGAUGCAGCGACGCCGCGUGAGCGAUGAAGUAUUUCGGUAUGUAAAGCUCUAUCAGCAGGGAAGAAAAUGACGGUACCUGGCUAAGAAGCCCCGGCUAACUACGUGCCAGCAGCCGCGGUAAUACGUAGGGGGCAAGCGUUAUCCGGAUUUAUUGGGUUUAAAGGGUGCGUAGGCGGUCCGGAAAGUCAGCGGUAAAAGCCCGGGGCUCAACCCCGGCGAGCCGUUGAAACUGUCGGACUA
rnacentral:rRNA from 1 species